rnacentral:lncRNA from 1 species
UUCCACACUAGAAAAAACCCAUAAAUCAAAAAGCUUAACAAUUAUCAAUGCUACAGUGAGAAAAUUAAUUUUCAUUAUAUUCAUUAUACAGUGGGAAAUGUUUUUAAAAAAAAUGUAAAGGGAAAUCACAUAAUGAGAGAGCAAACUCAAGUUCAGAUCCCCAAUGGUUUUCUGUGGUACACAAACAUAAACAUACAAAUGGUGCUCACUGUGUCCAUAACUCCAGUCAAAGCAAACCCCAAAUCGAAUACACUAAUUACAAAUCAUCUAACAAUUUUUUUAAAAAAAAUUAAAAAGAAAAUUCAAGGAACAAAAACCCAGUUUCUCUCUCAUUAAAACAAAGCAGAAGAAACCACCAGUAAAUCUUUCAUCAUCGUCCAUUAGAGGCACAAGGCAGUUGCUUGUAAAUCCUCGGGAUUCCCAACAUCCAUAUCAUCAUCCAACGGCGGAGGCAGGUUUAGAUCGAAUGAAAAGGGUUUGUGGUACAAAGCCGCGUCACAAUCUUCCACCACAGAUGACGACGAGUCGCAAUCGCUAUGAAAUUCCUCUACCUGAAUCGGCUGUUUGAACCGGUGGUUGGUUUUAAUCCGCGGUGGUGCCGGCGGAUUCGACGCCUUGAGCCCGCAGGAGGAUUCCACGGUGCUGCUCAGGCUGCUCGAUGUCGGCCUGGAAAUGUUAAAGGGUUGACUAAAAUCUUUGGGGUCGGAGCCGUGAGGAAUAUCUUGAAAAGGGAGAGGUAAUAACGGAAAAUUGGUUUUCGCCUUGGGGCCGCGAAGUGAUCUAGCGGCGGCAUCGUAGGCGCGAGCGGCGUCCUCGGCCGUGUCAAAAGUACCCAGCCAGACCCGGUUUUUCUUCCACGGGCCGCGGAUCUCGGCGGCGAAUCGGCCCCACGGACGCUUACGGACGCCGCGAUAUCUUGGCUCGUUUGGCGGCGAUCCUUUGCCGAUCUCUUCCGCCGCAACUGCCGGUUUUGAUCUGUUGCGCCGCAUGACCUUGAACGAAUCGGCAGCGAUUUGAUUGAUAGAUCGGAGAUGAUAAAGUGGAGGAAUUUGAUGCGAUCUUCGUAAAUUACAGGCCACCAACCUCCUUGAUUUGAUCUAUCAGUCUUGUUCUCUCUCCAUUUCUAGUUUCUUGAACCCUCUUUUCUAUCUUCUUGGAUUUCUCUCUCCUCGUUUAUCCUUUAUUUUAUCUCUCCCAGCAAAAGGAGGAACCGACUUCAUUGUAUUUUCCUUCUCUUUAUUUUAUUUGGCGGAUAGGAAAUGAAACUUGUGAAUGUACCAAAAUACCUCUUUUAGUCUUAUCUUUCUUUGGUGGUAUGGCUUUUUUUUUAAUUAUUUUAAGUAUGGUUUGGCCUGGGGAGGAGUAGUGGUGCACAAAUAGCCUGUGACUUGUGACUUGGCCUUGGUUCGGCCUGAGCUCGGCCUGGUCAAAGCCAGGCCUGAAAAAGUCCGACCUGACCUACAAGACUAUAAACAGACCAUAAUUUUUUGACUAAUGCCCGGCUUGGCCUUUCAAAAAGCCUAGUUCGGCCUGGCCUUCAGACUUGUCUGGCCCGAAGCCUAAAACGGCCCAAGGCCUAACUUGGCCUAUAGAAAUUGGACCCCAACUAGAGUCUAUUUCAUUUUAACUAAUUUAAGCUGCCCAAGUCCAACAGGCUUGGCCUGGCAGCAGAUGGACUCAUACAACUAUUAAUUCACCGAAGGAUGAAUGUUUAUAUUAACUAAUAUAAGCUUUUCAAGUCCAACAGGCUUGGCCUGCCAGCAAAUGGACCCAUACAAGUAUUUUAAUUUAACUAAAGGAUGAAUGUUUAUUUAUAUUGUCAAAUGCCUAGCAAAAAUUUGGAGGAUAGGCGAUGUGAGACUUAACAAAGCUAUCUAUCAUUCAUCAAAAGACAAGCAUUAGUUUAGGAGUCAUUUUUCAUGUUAACAUCUUUUAAAGUGCACAUGCAUGAAUGGAGGAAGUGUUACAGUUAAAACUGUUGAACUACCCGGUAGUAAAGUACAGUAAUACGCGUGGUUGCAUACUAGCACACGGUAUUAGUUAUUGAUGCUUACGUGAGAAGUCACUCAGUUAUACUCAAUUAUUGCUACAGCAAUUGAUGCAUCAUAUCUCUCAUAUUAUUGAUUCAAUUAUUGUCACAGUAUCAUCUGCAUAAUAUGUUAUAUUAUUAAAUCAAUAAUUGAGACGAUAAAGUUAUUCAUAUUAUUAUUUUGCUAUAUUUACAAUGUCUAGAAGUUCUGUCAAGGAGAGGUUUGGUCAUCUAAUUGCGCGCCAAUAAGGAGAAAUCCUUAUCGGAAAGCCCCCUCUUUCCUGGGAACGACCUGGUUGUUAAAUAUUGUGAGUUAUAAUAUUAAUGANNNNNNNNNNNNNNNNNNNNNNNNNNNNNNNNNNNNNNNNNNNNNNNNNNNNNNNNNNNNNNNNNNNNNNNNNNNNNNNNNNNNNNNNNNNNNNNNNNNNCAAAGCCGUGUCACAAUCUUCCACCACAGAUGACGACGAGUCGCAAUCGCUAUGAAAUUCCUCUACCUGAAUCGGCUGUUUGAACCGGUGGUUGGUUUUAAUCCGCGGUGGUGCCCGCGGAUUCGACGCCUUGAGCCCGCAGGAGGAUUCCACGGUGCUGCUCAGGCUGCUCGAUGUCGGCCUGGAAAUGUUAAAGGGUUGACUAAAAUCUUUGGGGUCGCCGCCGUGAGGAAUAUCUUGAAAAGGGAGAGGUAAUAACGGAAAAUUGGUUUUCGCCUUGGGGCCGCGAAGUGAUCUAGCGGCGGCAUCGUAGGCGCGAGCGGCGUCCUCGGCCGUGUCAAAAGUACCCAGCCAGACCCGGUUUUUCUUCCACGGGCCGCGGAUCUCGGCGGCGAAUCGGCCCCACGGACGCUUACGGACGCCGCGAUAUCUUGGCUCGUUUGGCGGCGAUCCUUUGCCGAUCUCUUCCGUCGCAACUGCCGGUUUUGAUCUGUUGCGCCGCAUGACCUUGAACGAAUCGGCAGCGAUUUGACUGAUAGAUCGGAGAUGGUAAAGUGGAGGAAUUUGAUGCGAUCUUCGUAAAUUACAGGCCACCAACCUCCUUUGAUUUGAUCUAUCAGUCUUGUUCUCUCUCCAUUUCUAGUUUCUUGAACCCUCUUUUCUAUCUUAUUGGAUUUCUCUCUCCUCGUUUAUCCUUAAUUUUAUCUCUCCCAGCAAAAGGAGGAACCGGCUUCAUUGUAUUUUCCUUCUCUUUAUUUUAUUUGGCGGAUAGGAA